rnacentral:rRNA from 1 species
CCCUUAGAUGUCCGGGGCUGCACGCGCGCUACACUGAAGGAAUCAGCGUGCUAAAACCAUUGUCGAAAGGCAUUGGUAAACCCAUUAAAAUCCUACGUGAUUGGGAUCGGGAAUUGCAAUUAUUUCCCUUGAACGAGGAAUUCCCAGUAAGUGUGGGUCAUAAGCUCGCGUUGAUUACGUCCCUGCCCUUUGUACACACCGCCCGUCGCUGCCCGGGACUGAGCCGUUUCGAGAAAAGCGGGGACUGCUGCUGUCGGGGCUUUCGGGCCUUGGCUUCGGUGGAAACCGCUUUAAUCGUAGUGGCUUGAACCGGGCAAAANUCGUAACA